rnacentral:rRNA from 1 species
UACGUAGGGUGCAAGCGUUAAUCGGAAUUACUGGGCGUAAAGCGUGCGCAGGCGGUUAUGUAAGACAGAUGUGAAAUGCCCGGGCUUAACCUGGGAACUGCAUUUGUGACUGCAUGGCUAGAGUUUGGCAGAGGGGGGUAGAAUUCCACGUGUAGCAGUGAAAUGCGUAGAUAUCUGGAGGAAUACCGGUGGCGAAGGCGGCAUCCUGGACCGAUAUUGACACUGAUGAGCGAAAGCUAGGGGAGCAAACGGG